rnacentral:rRNA from 1 species
UACCUACGGGAGGCAGCAGUCGGGAAUAUUGCGCAAUGGAGGAAACUCUGACGCAGUGACGCCGCGUAUAGGAAGAAGGUUUUCGGAUCGUAAACUAUUUUCGUUAGGGAAGAUAAAAGACUGUACCUAAGGAGGAAGCCCCGGCUAACUAUGUGCCAGCAGCCGCGGUAAUACGUAGGGAGCAAGCGUUAUCCGGAUUUAUUGGGUGUAAAGGGUGCGUAGACGGGAAAUUAAGUUAGUUGUGAAAUCCCUCGGCUCAACUGAGGAACUGCAACUAAAACUGGUUUUCUUGAGGGUUGGAGAGG